CCUAGCUACUACCUCCGUCCGUGUUCAAACGUUUGAUCAUUCGUCUUAUUUGAAAAAAAUUACGAUUAAUUUUUUUUUCUUACUAGAUGAUAAAACAUGAAUAACAUUUUAUGUGUGACUAAUUUUUUUAGUUUUUAUACAAAUUUUUUAAAUAAAACGAAUGGUUAAAUGUUGGAUACGGAAAA
rnacentral:pre_miRNA from 1 species